CCUACGGGAGGCAGCAGUGGGGAAUAUUGGACAAUGGGGGAAACCCUGAUCCAGCGACGCCGCGUGAGGGAAGAAGUAUUUCGGUACGUAAAGCUCUAUCAGCAGGAAAGAAAAUGACGGUACCUGACUACGAAGCCCCGGCUAACUACUUGCCAGCAGCCGCGGUAAUACGUAGGGGGCAAGCGUUAUCCGGAUUUACUGGGUGGAAAGGGAGCGGAGACGGCAGCGCAAGUCUGGAGUGAAAUGCCGGGGCCCAACCCAGGAAAUGCUCUUGAUACUGUUAAGCUGGAGUGCAGGAGAGGUAAGCGGAAUUCCUGGUGUAGCGGUGAAAUGCGUAGAUAUCAGGAGGAACAUCAGAGGCGAAGGCGGCUUACUGGACUAUAACUGACGUUGAGGCUCGAAGGCGUGGGGAGCAAACAGGAUUAGAUACCCGGGUAGUC
rnacentral:rRNA from 1 species